rnacentral:rRNA from 1 species
UAGAGUUAUGAUAAUGACAUUAUCUAUCUAUGUGUCUUGACCAAAUUACGUGCCAGCAGUCGCGGUAAUACGUAAAAGACUAGUGUUAUUCAUGAUUAAUAGGUUUAAAGAGUACCUAGACGGUUAAUGAAGCCCCUAAAGGGUACAUAUUAACUAGAGUUAUAUGAAAGGGAGCUUUGAGGUACUGUUGAGUGUAGAGAUGAAAUUCGUUAAUACCAGAUAAGUGGCACGAAUCUAUGCGAAGGCAUCUCCUUAUGUAAUAACUGACGUUGAAGGACGAAGGCUUUUGAAGUGAAGAGGAUUAGAUACCCUAGUAAUCCAAGCAGAAAAUGAUGAAUGUCAUAGGUUGAAUAAUAUAUUUGGUCUAUAAAUGAAAGUGUAAGCAUUCCACCUCAAGAGUAAUUUGGCAACAUUGAAACUGAAAUCAUUAGACCGUAUCUGAAACCAGUAGUGAAGUAUGUUGUUUAAUUAGACGGUCCGCAAAAAACCUUACCACAAUUUGAAUAUAUAUUUUAAUUAAUAUUUACAAGCGUUGCACGGCUGUCUUCAGUUAAUGUCGUGAGAUUUU